AUGGUUGAUGCUGCCGUUCCAGCAGUUGUCAUCACAAGCUUGGAUGUUUCCAAUAUUCCUGUUGAACUUACAGAGGAUGUUUUUCCUGCAGAAGUGGUGCGCAAGGUAGUGCUUUCUACAGAAGUGGUACCAAGGGUAGUAGUUUCUGAAGCAGUGGUUCCCAGGGUGGUUCUUUCUUCAAAAGUUGUAGUAGUUUCUGCAGAAGUGAUGCCAAGGGUAGUAGAUUCAGCAGAAGUCGUGCCCAGGGUUGUGGUUUCUACAGAAGUGGUAGUAGUUUCUGCAGAAGUCGUGCCCAGGGUUGUGCUUUCUACAGAAUUAGAAGUGGUUUCUGCAGAAGUGAUGCCAAGGGUACUCGUUUCUGCAGAAGUUGUGCCCAGGGUUGUGCUUUCUGCAGAAGUGGUUGUAGUUUCGGCAGAAGUGAUGCCAAGGGUAGUAGUUUUUGCAGAAGUCGUGCCCAGGGUUGUGCUUUCUACAGAGGUGGUAGUAGUUUCUGCAGAAGUUGUGCGCAGGGUUGUGCUUUCUACAGAACUCGUAGUAGUUUCUGCACAAGUUGUGCCUAGGGUUGUUCUUUCUACAGAAAUGGUAGUAGUUUCUGCAGAAGUGAUGGCUAGGGUAGCCGUUUCUGCAGAAGUUGUGCCAAGGGUUGUGCUUUCUGCAGAAGUGGUAGCAAUUUCUGUGGAAGUGAUGCCAAGGGUAGCAGUUUCUGCAGAAGUUGUGCCCAGGGGUGUGCUUUCUACAGAAGUGGUAGUAGUUUCUGCAGAAGUUGUGCCUAGGGUUGUUCUUUCUACAGAAGUGGUAGUAGUUUCUGCAGAAGUGAUGCCAAGGAUAGCCGUUUCUGCAGAAGUUGUGCCCAGGGUUGUGCUUUCUGCAGAAGUUGUGCCCAGGGUUGUGCUUUCUGCAGAAGUUGUGCCCAGGGUUGUGCUUUCUACAGAAGUGGUAGUAGUUUCUGCAGAAGUUGUGCCCAGGGUUGUGCUUUCUACAGAAGUGGUAGUAGUUUCGGCAGAAGUGAUGCCAAGGGUAGUAGUUUCUGUAAAAGGAGUUUGACCCAUUGUGGUUUCAACUGCAGAUGUUGAGACAGGUGUAGUUAUGGUUGAUGCUGCCGUUCCAGCAGUUGUCAUCACAAGCUUGGAUGUUUCCAAGAUUCCUGUUGAACUUACAGAGGAUGUUGUUCCUGCAGAAGUGGUGCGCAAGGUUGUGCUUUCUACAGAAGUGGCACCAAGGGUAGUAGUUUCUGCAGCAGUGGUUCCUAGGGUGGUUCUUUCUUCAGAAGCUGUAGUAGUUUCUGCAGAAGUCGUGCCUAGGGUUGUUCUUUCUACAGAAGUGGUAGUAGUUUCUCCAGAAGUCGUGCCCAGGGUUGUGCUUUCUCCAGAAGUAGAAAUGGUUUCUGCAGAAGUGAUGCCAAGGGCAGUAGUUUCUGCAGAAGUCGUGCCCAGGGUUGUGCUUUCUAUAGAAGUAGAAAUGGUUUCGGCAGAAGUGAUGCCAAGGGUAGUAGAUUCAGCAGAGGUUGUGCCCAAGGUUGUGCUUUCUACAGAAGUGGUAGUAGUUUCUGCAGAAGUCAUGCCCAGGGUUGUGCUUUCUACAGAAGUAGAAAUGGUUUCUGCAGAAGUGAUGCCAAGGGUAGUAGAUUCAGCAGAGGUUGUGCCCAGGCUUGUGGUUUCUACAGAAGUGGUGGUAGUUUCUCCAGAAGUCGUGCCCAGGGUUGUGCUUUCUACAGAAGUAGAAGUGGUUUUUGCAUAAGUGAUGCCAAGGGUAGUAGAUUCAGCAGAGGUUGUGCCCAAGGUUGUACUUCCUACAAAAGGGGUGUCAAGUGAGGUACUUGCUGCAGAAAUGCCCUCAAGCGUACUAAUUUCUGUAAAAUGGGUAGUUUGAGCCAAUGUGGUUUCAACAGCAGAUGUUAAGGCAGGGGUAGUUAAGCUGGAUGCCAUUGUCUGAGCAGUUGUCAUUACAAGCAUGGAUGUUUCCAAGAUUCCUGUUGAACUUAUAGAGGAUGUUGUUUCUGCAGAAGUUGUGCCCAGGGUUGUGCUUUCUACAGAAGUGGCUCCAAGGGUAGAAGGUCCUGCAGAAGUGGUUCUCUGGGUUGUGCUUUCAACAGAAGUGAUGCCAAGGGUAGUAGUUUCUGAAGGAGCGCUAGUUUGAUUCAUUGUUGAUUCAAUAGCAGAUGUUAAGCCAGGCUUGGUUAAAGCUGCAGUUGUUUUUCCAGCAGUGGUCAUUACUGGUGUCAACGUUUCCAAUACUAUUCCUGUUGAACUAACUAAGGAUGUAUUGUCAGCAGAAGAGGUGACAAAGUUAGUAGUUUCUUCAGCAGUGGUGGCAAGGGUUGCAGUCUCUGUGGUAGUUUUAGCCAUUGUGGUUUCAACAGCAAACGUUGCGGCAGGUGUUGGGUCAGGUGAGAUUGUUGCUCCAACAGUUGUCAUUACAUUUGUGGAUGCUCCUAAAAUAUUUAUUGUUGAACUAAUGGAGGGCAUUAUUUCAGCAGUAUUAGUUCUCGGAGAAGUAGUUUCUAUGGAAGUGGUGUCUAGAAAAGUAGUUUCAGCAGAAGUUGUUAUCAGAGCUAUUGUGGUUCCAGCAACAGAUGUUAAAUAAGGCAUGGUCUCAGGUAAGGUUGUUGCUCCAGCAGUUGUCAUAACAGGUGUGAAUGUUUUCAAUAUAAUUUCUGUUGAGCUAACUGAGUGAGUUGUUUCUGCAGAACUCAAAGGAGUCAAUGGGAUAUCCGAGAAACCCCAUUCAGAGUCAUGUCUUGUGCUUUUCAAUGUAGACUGGCCUGUUUGAGUGGGAAUACUUGAUGAAAGUGUUCUUUGGGUAGUUUUAAGGUUUUUUUCAAGUUCCCCACAUGGAACAGUGGGUGUGGAAAGGUCAAAAUCGGUCCCAAACUCUACAUCGGCAUCAACAACAGGAGUUGCAGUUUUGGUGAUCCUGUCUGGUUGUGUAGCUGCAUUUGAGGAUUCCCCUUCUUUGGUAGUACAAAGAGUUAUAUCUGGUGGCCUGAAGGGAUCUACGUUUGCCCAUGAAGUGGGAUUAGGAUGUAUAGGUGUGCUGGAUGGAAGUAUCCUUUGGGUAGUUUUAGGAGUUUCUUCAAAUUCCCCACAUGGAACAGUGGGUUUGACAUAAAAAUCGGUCCCAAAUUCUGCAUCAGCAUCAACAACAGAAGUUACAGUUUUGGUCAUUCCACUUGACUGUGUAGCAGCACUUGAGGUUUCUGCUUUCUGGGUUGUUCCAAUAGUUAUCUCAGGUGACCUAAAGGGAUUUGUGUUUGUCCAUGUACUGGGGUCUGAAAAUGUUGUUGUGCUGGAUGCAAGCAUCAUUUGGGUCGUUUUAGGUGUUUUUUCAAAUUCCCCACAAGGAACAGUGGGUUUGACUUCAAAGUCCAAAAGACCUAAAUUUGCCCCAACAGUAGGUACUGAAUCAUAUUCCCGAAUAAAAUCAAAAGGGUUUUGUCUUCGUUUUCUGAU
ensembl:lncRNA